rnacentral:lncRNA from 1 species
UGCAUCAAGAUCAAUGGAUAGUUUCAGAUUUCGUUGACAAUAAUGGAUCUUGGAAGCAAAGUAUGUUGGAACAAUUAUUCCCUAAUGAAUUGGGUGAAAGCCAUCCCAUUGCCAAAAUAUUUCUGCAAGGAUAGAUUGGUUUGAGCGCCAAAAGGUUCUAAUUCUAUUAAAGCUAGUGAUGUAUAUGAUGUCAUAACAA